CACAUGAACACCGAUAAGUUGAACGCACAUUGCGCAUCGGGGACCCAGCUCGGUGCACAUAUCUUUGAGUGCCCAUAUUUGUGUUUCAUCUAACUACGUUACCGCGCCGAGUAGAGUGUGGUGCGUGCAUCAUGGUGUUACAUCGCGUUGCACUGAAACACGUGUAGCGUGGAACCGAGUUGCAAAACCGUGCGUGCGCAAGUCUGUUGCUCURUGGUUUCGGUCCAACACCUCACAGCUUCUGCUACCCGCAGGCGAGUGUUGAUAAACAGUGCCCGACCAUCGCGAUACUCGAAUGACAACUGCGUACCGUGCAUCAAUUGUAGUCUCGCUCCUGCGACACACUCGAGAGAUACCUCUUUCCACCAAUGGUAUAGAGAGAGGAAUGGCACACCCAUCGCUGGUGUAGAUGGGCCUCAAAUGAUGUGUGACUACCC
rnacentral:rRNA from 1 species